GGAGCGGUAGCUCAAUUGGUUAGAGCGCUGCCCUGUCACGGCAGAGGUCGCGGGUUCGAGUCCCGUCCGCUCCGCCA
rnacentral:tRNA from 1 species